rnacentral:rRNA from 1 species
UACGGAGGGGGCUAGCGUUAUUCGGAAUUAUUGGGCGUAAAGGGCGCGUAGGCGGCCCGGUAAGUCAAAGGUGAAAUCCCUCGGCUCAACUGAGGAACUGCCUUUGAAACUGUCGGGCUUGAGGCCGGGAGGGGGUAGCGGAAUUCCCAGUGUAGCGGUGAAAUUCGUAGAUAUCGGGAGGAACACCAGUGGCGGAGGCGGCGAUCUGGGAAGAUACUGACGCUGAGGUGCGAAAGCGUGGGGAGCAAACAGG